ACAUAUGUUGCUCAGCUUUUGGGGGCAUUGUAUAGUCCUGCACAAGCCGGAAGCUGCCACAUGUAGUCAGUAAUAGGACGACGCUUGCAGGACUUCUGGCAUCCUUCGUAAUGUAACGAAAGUAAAGACAAAGAAAACAGUAAAAUUUGGUCAAUAUCCAAUUCUAUUGUCACGCUACAGCCUACUGAUGCUUCUGCAAAACAGUUUUUCUUUUGUUUCUUUAAAGGGUCAUUUCUUAAUAAAGUAGGCCUGUAGGUGAAUGUUGUGAAGUUUACAUAACUUCCAGGAGAGCUUCCAUUCGCAGUUGUAUGUUGCAGCUGUUGCACAUACGGCAAGCACUUGGAUUUCAUUGCCUUGCUGUUACUCACAUUCUUCAACCAUGCAUCAGCACACCUGCUUAUUUCGACCAUGUGUAGAACUGCAACGGUUGGGGUGAGACACAGAAGAAGACACAUAAGGGGGCAUCCCUGGAGGCAACAUUUCGACAAAAGUAUUGUCUUCUUCAAGGCUUGCCGAAUUGGAUUAUCAACACAAAUGGAAGAAUUUAUGUUAAGAGUCGAAGUUACAACAUAAUGACCAAAAGACGAUGCUACUCAAUUGAAAGACAAUAUUAUUACGGUGACAGAGACUGGGUGUACACAUUUCGUUAUAGGGAUCCAGAACGACCAAACGUCCUCAUUGCAUUCAAUGCAACAUUAAGCAUCAAAAGAACUGGAAACCACUCCAUUGAAAAUGCAGUAGUCUACACAUUUAAUAAAGGUUGUGAGCUGCUGCAAACAGCUGACACAGUAGGCACAGGUGUGCCGUCAGUAUGCAAGCGUCUGUACGACCGCGAGUGCUGGGGUGACAAGAUAGGGCUUUAUAUGAAGCUCUGCAAAAGUUUGCCCGAUUACAUCGUACCGCGCUGAGCUAUUAUUGUCAAUUUACAGCAAACACUGACCCCCAAGGUGCAUGGAUCGGCAUACGGAAAAAGUUGCCCAUGAUUUGUACAGUUGCAUUUUGCAGGAACUCUUUCUCCUCCAACUAGUAAACUUAGAAAUGAAAAAAAUAAAUAAAUAAAUAAAAAAGUCAAUGGAAUCAGAAAACACAAUACAAUAUAGUUAUCUUCCUUGUGGGGACAGGAAAAGGAACAUUAUUUGGAAUACACAAUUCCUAGAAGAUGCAUAUAUAUGGCUCAAUACAGUCCGCCUCUUUCAUUUUCCUGUGCUGCCCUCUACCAUUUCAUAAAGUUUUGUUAGGGGCCGGCACAACCAGUAUUGCCAGAAACAAAGCCUCCGAGAUGAAGAGAUGUUUCGCGACCUUUCCGCUAGGGGGAGUAUGUGCCAUGGCAUCAUGAAAAAGGCGGAUUAACAAGCAAACAGCAGCUGAGUACAGGUUCUCUUUUUUGUUCUCGAAGACAUGUUAUUCAUGAUGAUGUAAUUGGUCAUAUAAGUGUACAUAUAAAAUAAAUGUUUGAAUGAA